rnacentral:miRNA from 1 species
GAUAUUCGACGUAAUAAACACGAUCAACUUUGGUGUUUAUGACGUCGAUAUUCGACGUCAUAAAUACGACCAACUUUGGUGUUUAUGACGUCGAAAUUCGACGUCAUAAACACGAUCAACUUAGGUGUUUAUCACGUCGACGUCAUAAACACGACCAACUUUGGAGUUUAUCACGUCGAUACAUAAACACGAUCAACUUUGGUGUUUAUAACGUCGAUAUUCGACUUCAUAAACGCGAUCAACUUUGGUGUUUAAGACGUUGAUAUUCGACGUCAUACACACGAUCAACUUUGGUGUUUAUGACGUCGAUAUUC